CUCCAUAUCUAUCUAAUCUAACGGUUGAGAUUAACUUUUCCUAUCUUUCUCUUUAACACCAGAAGACCCAAAACCUUAAAUUUUAACUCAUUAUCUUCCCCUUUCUCUAUAGCAGCCGCCACCUCUACUCUCUCCUCUCCAUUCGCGCUGGCGAGAGCAGCCACCGGCGACGCCCGUCUACUCUUCUACGCUCCUCUCCCGUUGCUCUUUCUCUCUCCUCCCUCCUUCUCCUCUCUCACCCCUCUCUCCACUCGCGUCUCCUCAUCCCUAGCGAGAGCAGCAGCAGCUCCAGCGAGCUGCACCAGGCGGCGCCGCUUUUUUCUCCUCUCCUUUUUUCCCUCCUCUCCUUUCUCUCCUCCCCUCUCCUCCUUUGCUCCAUCCUCCCUUCUCUCUUUCUUUGCCGAUACAGCAGCGCCAAAUGAGCAGCAAGGACCAGCACCUCUAGUGCUCCGACAAACAGCAGCAGCAGACGAGAAUAAGCAGUGAACAACAAAUGAUGGACUGAGGCGAGUCCCUCUCUUCUACGCUUCAUUUUUUCGGCAGAGCUAUGAGGUUUUUCUAAUUUUUGGGAUGGCGGAUCUUAAUGGAUCCGUCCAGUUACUUUCUCUUAACUAAACCCGUUUUUUUAAAAAUGAAUUUUCCUAACUUGAUUACGAAAAACUUCAUCUUGUAUGCUUACCUUAGGUAAAUGACAAUCACUUGCCAUUUAUUAUAUCUUGAUUUUUGUGAUGAUGAUCAUGCUCUUACUUGUGAUGAUCGGAUUUUUUUGAAUGUGCAUUAUUCUAACCUUGUCGAAUUUUUUGUUCAAAGUUCGUGUUAGAAUGUCAAUAUUUCCUUUAGCAAUAUGUUCACAUUAUUACUUCCUUAACUUUUGAAUAUUGGUCUUGAUGAUUCCUUCUUGUUAAGUGUCUGAGAAAAUUGCUAUUACUAGACUGCUUUCUUUUACAGUUUAGAGUCGUCUCCUUCUCUGGUAAAAACAAAUAAAUAAAAUAGAAUAAUGUUGUGCUAUUUUAGUAUAUGAAAUCAUAUUAUGGUAGGUGAUUCGGAUCCAAAUUGUACUUUUCCUUUAAAUAACCACUCUUUCACUUGGUAUUAUAUAUUGUUUAAAUUAUGAGUUGUCUUGCCUUAGUUAAAAGGUAGACAGAUCUUUUAUGGUAAACAUAUUCCAUAAAAAGGAGUUAAUUUUAUAUUAAUUGAUUCAUUUACUUAAAUGUAUUUUAUGGAUAUGUUAUUGAAAGAAUUAUUUGUAUAAGGAAAUAUUUUGUGCAGAUUUCACUAAUUUGAUUAAGGGAGCAUAUUUUCCAUAUUUUGCUACUGAUUGGUUUUUCCUUUUUGUUGGCCCUCUCCUCCAUUACAUAAAUAGACCCUUGCUAAACUCGUUCGCUCACUUUUAAUACAAGUUCUCUCAUUACUCUCGACUCUAUCUUCCAUCUUGCUCAUACUUUAAAAUACUUUAAAUAUUCCUCUCCUAUUCUUUAAAAAGUAAGAACUCUUGAAUCAUCCUUUCGACCAUUUCUUGUUGUGUUGUUGUUGUGGAUCAGAACCUUGUUUAAUACUUCAUUGCUGAUAAAAUUUUUUGCGUAAUUGGUUAGCCUUCUUUACUAUUCUAAAAUCUCGUUUUUGCAAAACUAUCAUUGUUGUUGUUGGAAACAAAGGAAGCAUCCAAGAUAUUUUUCUUAUCCUUUCUCCCUAUGUGUGGUAACAUGUCUUCAUCUAUGCUUUGUACCUUUUACUUAUUAUCUAUGUUGUUUAUAUAUAUACAUAUGAAAGUAAUUUGUUACUAUUAGUAUAUUACAACUAUUUACUCAUCGUAUAUGCUUUAUUACAUCUUCUACUAGGUUUUGAACUUAUAGUUCAAUAUGAUGAAGAUUUGCCUUGAAGAAAUUGUGGACGAAGCCUCGUUCAUUUUAUUGUUAUAUAUAUAUAUCUUUAUUUGUUCUUUAUUUUUACUUGUAAUGCUUGUAUAACUCGUUAACUCAAUAUAUGUGAAAUAAGUUUGGGGGAUCGUCUAAGGGAAGGGGUAUUAUGUGUUACUUAUAAUUUUGUCGCAAAAUCUUAUUUGAUUAAUAAAGCUAGAUUUAAAAUUAAAUAUAAUAAAAAAAUUUUAUUGAUUGAUCACUUAUUUAAUCUUGUGUAUUUUAGUACUUGAAACUAAUUUGGUAUUACUAUUAAUCAAUUUUCGUUCCGCAUAUCCUUUAGG
rnacentral:lncRNA from 1 species